GUUACGUUGCGAAUUUGUCUAUGGGAAUCUCCAGAAAUAUGAAAUAUACUGUACUUCUAAAAAACGAAUUUGGAGAUACAAGAAAAACCUUCGAAUUGCAUUCAGAUCUGAUUGUAUCAUUUGACUUUCGAUUUUGGAUUUUUGGAUUGUCGAUCUUUGGAGAAUUUUUAGUGGCAACGACAAUGACUGUUGCAAUUCCUAGAGGAAAACAGUAUCAAAAUGUUGUUCAUAUUGUUGGUCCACUAGAACGAUCACCAACUAUUCCUAUGCAAGUAUCUUGAUCUACUAGCAUUUGUAUUGCACAUAGUCAUAGAAGUAAAUGUAGCUC